UACGUAGGGUCCGAGCGUUGUCCGGAAUUAUUGGGCGUAAAGGGCUCGUAGGCGGUUUGUCGCGUCGGGAGUGAAAACACGGGGCUUAACCCCGUGCCUGCUUCCGAUACGGGCAGACUAGAGGUAGGCAGGGGAGAGCGGAACUCCUGGUGUAGCGGUGGAACGCGCAGAUAUCAGGAAGAACACCGGUGGCGAAGGCGGCUCUCUGGGCCUUACCUGACGCUGAGGAGCGAAAGCGUGGGUAGCGAACAGG
rnacentral:rRNA from 1 species